UACGUAGGGGGCAAGCGUUGUCCGGAAUCAUUGGGCGUAAAGAGCGUGUAGGUUGUUCGAUAAGUCUGCUGUGAAAGUCCAGGGCUCAACCCUGGGAUGCCGGUGGAUACUGUCUGACUAGAGUACGGAAGAGGCGAGUGGAAUUCCCGGUGUAGCGGUGAAAUGCGCAGAUAUCGGGAGGAACACCAAUUGCGAAGGCAGCUCGCUGGGACGUUACUGACACUGAGACGCGAAGGCGUGGGGAGCAAACAGG
rnacentral:rRNA from 1 species